CAGCAACUUCUACAAUCAUCACUGGAGAGAUGCUUUCCCAGCCACAUAGGCAGCGUUAAUUCCAGGCGAUGCCGACCUGCUUAGGGCAACGAGAUGACGAAAAGACUCAGAAUGGAUGGAAGUUGUUUAUAAAUUCUCCUCUGCUGCAUACUGUUAAGAAGGGGAAAGAGGAGUGCUGGACUCACCCUGAAUUCUUAUCUUGCGCGAGAUCCAAGAACUGUCUCUUGGGGUCUGUGCUGGGACUGCUUUCCUGUAACAUAUUUCUGGCGUCCACAGAAGGGACUAUAGUGAGGAAACCACUGACUUUGGGUAAGUGGUGGGGUCUUGUAA
rnacentral:lncRNA from 1 species